AACGAACGCUGGCGGCGUGCCUAACACAUGCAAGUCGAGCGGGAAAGUUCCCUUCGGGGAGCGAGUACAGCGGCGCACGGGUGAGUAACACGUAGGUAACCUACCCUGGAGACCGGGAUAACCUGCCGAAAGGCGGGCUAAUACCGGAUAAGACCACGAGGGCUGUGGCCCUUGCGGAAAAAGAUGGCCUCUGCUUGCAAGCUAUCACUCUGGGAUGGGCCUGCGCGCCAUUAGCUAGUUGGUGAGGUAACGGCUCACCAAGGCCGAGAUGGCUAGCUGGUCUGAGAGGAUGGCCAGCCACACUGGGACUGAGACACGGCCCAGACUCCUACGGGAGCAGCAGUGGGAAUAUUGCGACAAUGGGCGAAAGCCUGACGCAGCG
rnacentral:rRNA from 1 species